UAUUACAAAACCACAUACCACAAUCACCCACAGCUUUUAUCUUUUCAAGGCUUUGCGAAUAUUUCCCAGUCGUCACAGUAGAGAGGGAACGUAUGAAACAGGAAACUUACCUAUUAGUCACUUUGAGACUGACAAAUACUAAUCCAUCAUAAAAGCUCUGGACACCUUGCUGAACACUUCUAUAAAGGAUGGAAAGAAGAACUGCUAUGCUGUGAGUUAUGCCCUAAAUUAAGCACAAUCCCUCAAACCUGCUGGUCACAGAUGUGUGAAAUCCCCCAAUCUCAGUGGUUCAUAUCCCCUAAAUAAAAGAAGUCAUAAAGAUGGAGAGAAUGAAACAAGGAUCCUUUCUGUUUCAUCUUCUUCUUCUUCAUUUUUUACAAAUCUACAGCGCUACAGGUGAUAGCUGCCCCAGCCUUCCGAUUAAGAACCUCACUUGUUACAAUGACUUCAAUCAAACCAUUACCUGCGUGUGGAACAGCUCAUCGGUCUAUGAUCAAACACAUGAUGAUGUGUGCACACUGGAUGCAGAAAUGAGAAGUUUCAGAUAUUCCUACAAUGCUUCCUGUGACUUAAAGCCUUUUGAUGUCUCAAAACCAGCCUUUAGAAGAUGCUUGCUGGUCUUUAGGAGGAAAUAUAUC